rnacentral:rRNA from 1 species
GACGAACGCUGGCGGCGCGCUUAACACAUGCAAGUCGAACGGAAAGGCCUGCUUUCCCUUGUGGAUUGCGGGUACUCGAGUGGCGAACGGGUGAGUAACACGUGAGUGAUCUGCCCCCAACUUGGGUAUAAGCCUGGGAAACUGGGUCUAAUUCCCGAUAGGACUGCAGGGUGGUGCCUGUGGUGGAAAACGAUUUUCUAGUGGUUGGGGAUGAGCUCGCGGCCUAUCAGCUUGUUGGUGGGGUAAUGGCCUACCAAGGCGGCGACGGGUAGCCGGCCUGAGAGGGUGGACGGCCACAUUGGGACUGAGAUACGGCCCAGACUCCUACGGGGGGCAGCAGUGGGGAAUAUUGCACAAUGGGCGGAAGCCUGAUGCAGCGACGCCGCGUGGGGGAUGACGGCCUUCGGGUUGUAAACUCCUUUCGACCGCGAGGAAGCCACCUGGUUGGAAGGGUGGUGACGGUAGUGGUAGAAGAAGCACCGGCUAACUACGUG